rnacentral:piRNA from 1 species
GGGGCUGGAGAGAUGGCUCAGGGCUUAAG